rnacentral:lncRNA from 1 species
GUAUAUGUAAUUUUACAAAAUUAUAAUAUCUAACAAAUACAAUGUAUGACCUCAAAAGAAAACGCUACAUGCAGAUCGCUCCAUGCACGUAAGAUACAUAGAGAGUGAUAUCUUUGAAACACAGGUACAAAAGGAACAAAAGAGUAAAAGCUUCUACCAACACAUGACAAUACCAACCAGCAACAUCUGAAAGAUUGAGAGGAUGGCAUCGGAAAUGGGGAGCAGAGCAUGCAGAUCAGUUAAUUGACAGAUCUGAAUGAAUGAAU